rnacentral:rRNA from 1 species
CCUACGGGGGGCUGCAGUGGGGAAUUUUGGACAAUGGGCGAAAGCCUGAUCCAGCCAUGCCGCGUGAGUGAAGAAGGCCUUCGGGUUGUAAAGCUCUUUCAGCCGGAAAGAAAUCGCGCAGGAUAAUACUCUGCGUGGAUGACGGUACCGGAAGAAGAAGCACCGGCUAACUACGUGCCAGCAGCCGCGGUAAUACGUAGGGUGCGAGCGUUAAUCGGAAUUACUGGGCGUAAAGCGUGCGCAGGCGGUUAUGUAAGACAGAUGUGAAAUCCCCGGGCUCAACCUGGGAACUGCGUUUGUGACUGCAUAACUAGAGUACGGCAGAGGGAGGUGGAAUUCCGCGUGUAGCAGUGAAAUGCGUAGAUAUGCGGAGGAACACCGAUGGCGAAGGCAGCCUCCUGGGCCAGUACUGACGCUCAUGCACGAAAGCGUGGGGAGCAAACAGGAUUAGAUACCCCGGUAGUC